UAUGCUUAUGGUGAGGUCUAAGGUUUUUAACUAAGUAUAAACAAGCCUUUGUCAACACUGUGAAUAAAAGCUUUUCCAUCUUUUCUAUUGCAGUAUACCCUUUGCUCUGUGACCGGUGUGGCAAUUGAAUUCCAGGAGAAAAUGGACACAUCAUGAAUUAUAAGACUUCAAAAUAGAAGGCGGUUUGCCUUCUGGACCGAUGAGGCCAGAAACUUGCUCCAAGGAAAACUUCAGCCAGUGAACAGGGUGCCAAAAAAGUGUGCCAUCUCUGAGGAAAUCCCACUUCACAUUCAGGCUGUUCCACAACAGAGGAAAAAAGAAUUGUCGACUUUAUUGUAAAGUUAAAGGGGUCUGAGGAGCAUUUGACGGGUGUACUCAACGGGAAGCCCUCUAAGUGGUUGCGUAAGCAAGCAUCUUUCCAGGUGCCUGUCUACAUAGACAGUGAGAAA